rnacentral:rRNA from 1 species
GACGAACGCUGGCGGCGUGCUUAACACAUGCAAGUCGAACGGAAAGGCCCUGCUUUUGUGGGGUGCUCGAGUGGCGAACGGGUGAGUAACACGUGAGUAACCUGCCCUUGACUUUGGGAUAACUUCAGGAAACUGGGGCUAAUACCGGAUAGGAGCUCCUGCUGCAUGGUGGGGGUUGGAAAGUUUCGGCGGUUGGGGAUGGACUCGCGGCUUAUCAGCUUGUUGGUGGGGUAGUGGCUUACCAAGGCUUUGACGGGUAGCCGGCCUGAGAGGGUGACCGGCCACAUUGGGACUGAGAUACGGCCCAGACUCCUACGGGAGGCAGCAGUGGGGAAUAUUGCACAAUGGGCGGAAGCCUGAUGCAGCAACGCCGCGUGCGGGAUGACGGCCUUCGGGUUGUAAACCGCUUUCGCCUGUGACGAAGCGUGAGUGACGGGAAUGGGUAAAGAAACACCGGCGAACUACGU